rnacentral:rRNA from 1 species
CCUUACCUACCCUUGACAUGUACGGAAUCCUGCUGAGAGGCGGGAGUGCCCGAAAGGGAGCCGUAACACAGGUGCUGCAUGGCUGUCGUCAGCUCGUGUCGUGAGAUGUUGGGUUAAGUCCCGCAACGAGCGCAACCCUUGUCCCUAGUUGCUACGCAAGAGCACUCCAGGGAGACUGCCGGUGACAAACCGGAGGAAGGUGGGGAUGACGUCAAGUCCUCAUGGCCCUUAUGGGUAGGGCUUCACACGUCAUACAAUGGUCGGAACAGAGGGUUGCCAAGCCGCGAGGUGGAGCCAAUCCCAGAAAACCGAUCGUAGUCCGGAUCGCAGUCUGCAACUCGACUGCGUGAAGCUGGAAUCGCUAGUAAUCGCGGAUCAGCAU